AGGAACUGAAUAAGAACCCUGGCAUCCAGAAGGAAGGCUGGUAAUGUGGCUUAGUCUUGGGUGCUUUGCAAUCUUUGCUUUUGGAAAAUAGAGGCUAAAUGUCUACUCUGAAAGCUUUCAACCAGAUCGAGAUGCUCCCACCAUCUGAAAACAGAACCUUGGCCAGCUGGCUUCCCUGAUCUUCUGUGUCCACCCCACUGAUUAUUCCUGCUCUGAGGCUAUGGGCAUUAACAAGGAUAUGGAGAGAGUGGUUUGUAGAUGUUUCUUUACAUUUGGAAGCUUCUUGUGUUUCGUGUGUUUUCUCCCCAUGCCUCUUGCUUCCAGAAAAUUGGGAAGAACUUUUGGAUGUAUGUCUGGAAUUCAAAUACAACACUCAAAGCCCCCAGUUUAUCAG